GAGGGAGACAAGCUAACCUUCACUGCACAGCUGGCUUUUCAGCUUCUGUUGAUGAGUAAGGAGAUUGAUGUGCGUGAGCUGGACUUCCUGCUCAGGUUUAAUGUGGAGCACAGCUAUAACAGUCCUGUUGACUUCCUCCCUAACUCUGCCUGGAGUGCCAUCAAGACGAUGAGCUUCACGGAUGAGUUUCGGGGGCUGGAGCGGGACAUCGAGGGCUCCCCCAA